rnacentral:rRNA from 1 species
CAGCCGCCACGGUAAUACGUAGGGGGCAAGCGUUAUCCGGAUUUACUGGGUGUAAAGGGAGCGUAGACGGAAUGGCAAGUCUGAAGUGAAAUGCCCGGGCUCAACCCGGGAACUGCUUUGGAAACUGUCGAUCUGGAGUGUUGGAGAGGUAAGUGGAAUUCCUGGUGUAGCGGUGAAAUGCGUAGAGAUCAGGAAGGACACCGGAGGCGAAGGCGGCUUACUGGACAAAGACUGACGUUGAGGCUCGAAAGCGUGGGAAGCAAACAGGAUUAGAUACCCCUGUAGUCCCUGUCUCUUAUAC